rnacentral:rRNA from 1 species
AUUGAACGCUGGCGGCAGGCUUAACACAUGCAAGUCGAGCGAGCGGCGGACGGGUGAGUAAUGUCUGGGAAACUGCCUGAUGGAGGGGGAUCACUACUGGAAACUGUAUCUAAUACCGCAUACCAUCAUAUGUGCCCAGCUGGGAUUAGCUAGUAGGUGGGGUAAUGGCUCCCCUGGGCGACGAUCGCUAGCUGGUCUGAGAGGAUGACCAGCCACACUGGAACAGAGACACGGUCCAGACUCCUACGGGAGGCAGCAGGGGGGAAUAUUGCACAAUGGGCGCAAGCCUGAUGCAGCCAUGCCGCGUGUGGGAAGAAGGCCUUCGGGUUGUAAAGCACUUUCAGCGAGGAGGCGUUACUCGCAGAAGAAGCACCGGCUAACUCCGUGCCAGCAGCCGCGGUAUAC